UUGGCAUCAUCUUUUUGUUGC
ensembl:piRNA 21ur-3306 ncRNA